rnacentral:rRNA from 1 species
CAGGCUCAGGACGAACGCUGGCGGCGUGCCUAAUACAUGCAAGUCGAGCGGACAGAAGGGAGCUUGCUCCCGGAUGUUAGCGGCGGACGGGUGAGUAACACGUGGGUAACCUGCCUGUAAGACUGGGAUAACUCCGGGAAACCGGAGCUAAUACCGGAUAGUUCCUUGAACCGCAUGGUUCAAGGAUGAAAGACGGUUUCGGCUGUCACUUACAGAUGGACCCGCGGCGCAUUAGCUAGUUGGUGGGGUAAUGGCUCACCAAGGCGACGAUGCGUAGCCGACCUGAGAGGGUGAUCGGCCACACUGGGACUGAGACACGGCCCAGACUCCUACGGGAGGCAGCAGUAGGGAAUCUUCCGCAAUGGACGAAAGUCUGACGGAGCAACGCCGCGUGAGUGAUGAAGGUUUUCGGAUCGUAAAGCUCUGUUGUUAGGGAAGAACAAGUGCGAGAGUAACUGCUCGCACCUUGACGGUACCUAACCAGAAAGCCACGGCUAACUACGUGCCAGCAGCCGCGGUAAUACGUAGGUGGCAAGCGUUGUCCGGAAUUAUUGGGCGUAAAGGGCUCGCAGGCGGUUUCUUAAGUCUGAUGUGAAAGCCCCCGGCUCAACCGGGGAGGGUCAUUGGAAACUGGGAAACUUGAGUGCAGAAGAGGAGAGUGGAAUUCCACGUGUAGCGGUGAAAUGCGUAGAGAUGUGGAGGAACACCAGUGGCGAAGGCGACUCUCUGGUCUGUAACUGACGCUGAGGAGCGAAAGCGUGGGGAGCGAACAGGAUUAGAUACCCUGGUAGUCCACGCCGUAAACGAUGAGUGCUAAGUGUUAGGGGGUUUCCGCCCCUUAGUGCUGCAGCUAACGCAUUAAGCACUCCGCCUGGGGAGUACGGUCGCAAGACUGAAACUCAAAGGAAUUGACGGGGGCCCGCACAAGCGGUGGAGCAUGUGGUUUAAUUCGAAGCAACGCGAAGAACCUUACCAGGUCUUGACAUCCUCUGACAACCCUAGAGAUAGGGCUUUCCCUUCGGGGACAGAGUGACAGGUGGUGCAUGGUUGUCGUCAGCUCGUGUCGUGAGAUGUUGGGUUAAGUCCCGCAACGAGCGCAACCCUUGAUCUUAGUUGCCAGCAUUUAGUUGGGCACUCUAAGGUGACUGCCGGUGACAAACCGGAGGAAGGUGGGGAUGACGUCAAAUCAUCAUGCCCCUUAUGACCUGGGCUACACACGUGCUACAAUGGACAGAACAAAGGGCUGCAAGACCGCAAGGUUUAGCCAAUCCCAUAAAUCUGUUCUCAGUUCGGAUCGCAGUCUGCAACUCGACUGCGUGAAGCUGGAAUCGCUAGUAAUCGCGGAUCAGCAUGCGCGGGGGAAAAACCUUUCCCGGGGCCUUGUACACACCGCCCGUCACACCACGAGAGUUUGCAACACCCGAAGUCGGUGAGGUAACCUUUAUGGAGCCAGCCGCCGAAGGUGGGGCAGAUGAUUGGGGUGAACU